GAUGAAUGCUGGCGGCGUGCCUAAUACAUGCAAGUCGAGCGAACAGAUGAGGAGCUUGCUCCUCUGACGUUAGCGGCGGACGGGUGAGUAACACGUGGAUAACCUACCUAUAAGACUGGGAUAACUUCGGGAAACCGGAGCUAAUACCGGAUAAUAUAUUGAACCGCAUGGUUCAAUAGUGAAAGACGGUCUUGCUGUCACUUAUAGAUGGAUCCGCGCCGCAUUAGCUAGUUGGUAAGGUAACGGCUUACCAAGGCAACGAUGCGUAGCCGACCUGAGAGGGUGAUCGGCCACACUGGAACUGAGACACGGUCCAGACUCCUACGGGAGGCAGCAGUAGGGAAUCUUCCGCAAUGCGCGAAAGCCUGACGGAGCAACGCCGCGUGAGUGAUGAAGGUCUUCGGAGCGUAAAACUCUGUUAUUAGGGAAGAACAAAUGUGUAAGUAACUAGGCACGUCUUGACGGUACCUAAUCAGAAAGCCACGGCUAACUACGUG
rnacentral:rRNA from 1 species